rnacentral:rRNA from 1 species
UCUAAAGGGACUGCCGGUGUUAAACCGGAGGAAGGUGGGGAUGACGUCAAGUCCUCAUGGCCUUUACUGGACCAGGGCUACACACGUACUACAAUGGCCGAAGUACAAAGGGCAGCGAGGCCGCGAGGCGGAGCGAAUCGACUUAAAGCCGGUCCAGUACGGAUUGGAGUCUGCAACCCGACUCCAUGAAGUUGGAAUCGCUAGUAAUCGCGCAUCAGCAUGGCGCGGUGAAUACGUUCCCGGGCCUU